UGCAAAUGAAAAGUGCAAAGUCCAUGAUGAGCAAGUGGAUAAUUCCCUGAAAGUCCGCUUGCAAUAGAAGCAGCUCGUUCAGACACAAAAACUAAAUCAUUCUCAUCAGGGAUUAUAUUCAGCAAACACUUCAAAAACCAGUCCCAUGAUGCGUCAUUUUCAGAGUCAACUAUUGCAAAAGCAAUAGGAUACAAAUUAAAAUUC
rnacentral:sRNA from 1 species